GCCAAAACCAAAAAAAAAAACUUACCACGACAAAACAUAAAAAAGAAAGAAAAAAAAAUCUUUAGAUCUAAAAUUAGGUCUCUUCGACUCUGCCAUGGACUCAACCGUGAACUCGUCGCCGGCCUCAUUUUGCGCCCACUCCACCAUUAUCCUCUAGUCUCAGACUCAUUGUGAAAGAGAAGAUUGAGCCGGAGCAACAAAUUCGCAACGACGGUGUCGCAGGUGCGGAAGAUUAAAGUCUGAUUGCCCAUCCUUUGCAGCUGCGACCACAAAAUCCACCUGACUCAACCAAAACCUCUUUGCUUCCCCAUAUUGCAGAUGAGAUGUGGGUAUGAGAGAAUAGAGAAGCUAGGGUUAUGAUUGAGCAGCCAUGAGCGAGUUGAAAGUGGACUAUUGCGACGGCGGGGAUAGAGAGACGUAGGUUUAAUCAGCGUCGGGAAGAGGUGGAGGAGGUAGAGUUUGUUUCCUUGGUCCUUACAGUCCCAUUUGCAGGUGGAGAGUCGACAGCUUGUUCAUUAGGAGUUAUGCAAAUCUCAUACAUGUGGGAGCUGCUCCACAUGGCUGAGCAGAAGAUACAAGCACAGAUUGUGGGAUUUACAGCCGUUCUUUUACUGAUCAUGAGGAAGAAGAAAAAUUGUCAAAGACAGGGAAAUGUAUACUUACUAGCUCAAGCAACAAUGUGGUGGACAGUUUACUUCUAAGAUGAAUGACAUGAACACUUUGAGGAAGAAACUGCGAUGGACCAGUGUGACAGGAGCGAUUAUUAUAGUGAAUCUGAUUCUAAAGCUUCAGUCUGAGUUCUAUGGAGCAUUGAGCCAUUAUUUGUGUUUGUCUAACCAAAAUGUAUAUCUAAUAUCUUUGUACAAAAUAUUUUUUUAUAUUAUGUUUUGUGUAA